AAAAGCGGAGGAAAAGAAACCAACAGGGAUUGCCUUAGUAACGGCGAGUGAAGCGGCAAAAGCUCAAAUUUGAAAUCUGGCACCUUCGGUGUCCGAGUUGUAAUUUGAAGAAGGUAACUUUGGAGUUGGCUCUUGUCUAUGUUCCUUGGAACAGGACGUCACAGAGGGUGAGAAUCCCGUGCGAUGAGAUGCCCAAUUCUAUGUAAAGUGCUUUCGAAGAGUCGAGUUGUUUGGGAAUGCAGCUCUAAGUGGGUGGUAAAUUCCAUCUAAAGCUAAAUAUUGGCGAGAGACCGAUAGCGAACAAGUACAGUGAUGGAAAGAUGAAAAGAACUUUGAAAAGAGAGUGAAAAAGUACGUGAAAUUGUUGAAAGGGAAGGGCUUGAGAUCAGACUUGGUAUUUUGCGAUCCUUUCCUUCUUGGUUGGGUUCCUCGCAGCUUACUGGGCCAGCAUCGGUUUGGAUGGUAGGAUAAUGACUAAGGAAUGUGGCUCUACUUCGGUGGAGUGUUAUAGCCUUGGUUGAUACUGCCUGUCUAGACCGAGGACUGCGUCUUUGACUAGGAUGCUGGCAUAAUGAUCUUAAGCCACCCGUCUU
rnacentral:rRNA from 1 species